CUUGCUUCAGGAAAACAAAGUCCCAGGAGCUUUCCAGUAAGUUCAGAGAGUUUCUGGCUUGGCGCCUCUUUUGACCUCUUUGGGAGCCGUAGAGAUUGGAAUCAAGUGGUCUCAUACUCUGAAAAAACUGAGCUAAAGCUGCCGAAGUGUCCAGGCUGCAUUGCUGGAUUUUCCCAAAGCUGUGUGCUUUGGUGACGGGGGUACUGAGCCCGAAGGCCUUCCCCAGAGGUUAUCAUUAGUCCCAGAGACCUAACCGGAAGUGCGUCUACAUUCAGGGACAAAACGGCACCGAUGCAGAAGAGGAGACCAGCGCAGGUCUGAGAGCAGGUACCCUGCUUGCCUCUGCUGCUGGCUGUACCCUUCCCUCCCGAGGAUGGACAAGGAUGGCAUUAGGAGGCUUUGGUUUGGCACCUCUUAAGGACAAGAGUUAAUAAAGAAAUGGAAAGAGGCCCGGAGGUGAAGGCAGGCCUGGCUGGAAUCUCAGCGUUCAGGCCCGUGGGACGUGGAGCCUUCCCUGAGCGACACGUCUCAGCACAGCCUGGUGUCAUGAGCCCUUGGUGAACUGUGAUACUGUCUUGAUGUUGUGGGGUCGCUCCUUGCCUCCCCGCUUCUCUGAAUCCCUGCCGCCUCUCCUGGGAUAGCCCCCCUCUUCUCCCCUCCCCCACACUGAGGGUCUCCUUGCCCCUCCCUGCUGCCUCUCAGCAUGGGCCUCGGGCCCAGCGCUAGGCCAGCCCUGACAGCU